UGCAAUAGAGGUUCGACGUGUCCGAGAGGUCAAAACUUGCUGAAGUGGUGGUUGACUAUCAUUCGAAGUAGCGACGAAUGAAACAAAAGCAUGACGAGGUAGCCGCCAGCUCUCGCUGGUCUCACUCUCAGUGUUGUGUGCCAUUUCCACUUCUUACAGAGCGAUUUCGUUACUGUAACUAAUUAUGGUGUCUGUUGUCCACAAAGAUGAGGCCCAGGUGAUUCCAGAAUACACAUGAUACAGGAUGAACAUGUCUGAGGCAACAGAGAGAAACAGAUGUUGUAUGACCAAUUCUUUCCCUGGACUGUAUCAGCUGACCCACUUAAUGCUGGUGGAUACUUGUGAUGUUGAAUGUAACAUCAGUGAGGUCGCUGGGGAGGAAAC